rnacentral:rRNA from 1 species
AUUGAACGCUGGCGGCAUGCUUUACACAUGCAAGUCGAACGGUAACAGGCCUUCGGGUGCUGACGAGUGGCGAACGGGGGAGUAAUGCAUCGGAACGUACCCAGAGGUGGGGGAUAAUGCAGCGAAAGCUGUGCUAAUACCGCAGGUGAUCUGAGGAUGAAAGCGGGGGACCGAGCAGCAAUGUUUGGCCUCGCGCCUUUGGAGCGGGCGAUGUCGGAUUAGCUGGUUGGUGGGGUAGAGGCCGACCAAGGCGACGAUCCGUAGCUGGUCUGAGAGGACGACGCGCGCCACUGGGACUGAGACGCGGCCCAGGCUCCGACGGGAGGCACAAGUGGCGACUUGUGGAAACUGGGCGCAAUCCUGAUCCAGCAAUGCCGCGUGCGGGCAGCAGGCCUUCGGGUUGUAAACCGCUUUUGGCAGGAACGAAACGGUGUCCGCUAAUACCGGGCGCUAAUGACGGUACCUGCAGAAUAAGCACCGGCUAACUACGUG